GCAGAACGCGAAGAACCUUACCAGGGCUUAAAUGCAGUCCGACAGGAUUGGAAACAGUCCUUUCUUCGGACGGAUUGCAAGGUGCUGCAUGGUUGUCGUCAGCUCGUGCCGUGAGGUGUCAGGUUAAGCCCUAUAACGAGCGCAACCCCUGCCGUUAGUUGCCAGCGAGUAAAGUCGGGAACUCUAGCGGGACUGCCGGUGCAAACCGUGAGGAAGGUGGGGAUGACGUCAAAUCAUCACGGCCCUUACGUCCUGGGCCACACACGUGCUACAAUGGCAGGUACAAUGGGCAGCCACUGCGCAAGCAGGCGCGAAUCCACAAAACCUGUCUCAGUUCGGAUCGGGGUCUGCAACUCGACCCCGUGAAGCUGGAAUCGCUAGUAAUCGGAUAUCAGCCAUGAUCCGGUGAAUACGUUCCCGGGUCUUGUACACACG
rnacentral:rRNA from 1 species